rnacentral:rRNA from 1 species
UAAGACGAAGGUGGCUAGCGUUAUUCGGUAUCACUGGGCUUAAAGCGUGUGUAGGCGGGAAGGUAAGCGUCUUGUGAAAUCCCUCGGCUUAACCGAGGAAUUGCUUGACGAACUGCCUUUCUUGAGGCAAGUAGGGGUGCAUGGAACUCUUGGUGGAGCGGUGGAAUGCGUAGAUAUCAAGAGGAACGCCGAUGGUGAAGACAAUGCACUGGGCUUGUUCUGACGCUGAGACACGAAAGCGUGGGGAGCGAACGGGAUUAGAUACCCCGGUAGUCCACGCCGUAAACGAUGCCUACUAGGUUGUGGUGGUUCUGACACCAGCACGGCCGAAGCAAAAGUGUUAAGUAGGCCGCCUGGGGAGUACGGUCGCAAGGCUA